UACAGAGGUCCCAAGCGUUGUUCGGAUUCAUUGGGCGUAAAGGGUGCGUAGGUGGUCGGGUAAGUCUGAUGUGAAAUCUCCGAGCCUAACUCGGAAACUGCAUUGGAUACUAUUCGGCUUGAGGGUUGGAGGGGGGACUGGAAUACUUGGUGUAGCAGUGAAAUGCGUAGAUAUCAAGUGGAACACCAGUGGCGAAGGCGAGUCCCUGGACAACUCCUGACACUGAGGCACGAAAGCUAGGGGAGCAAACAGG
rnacentral:rRNA from 1 species